AAGCAAUGACGAAAGUUAACGCUGGCGGUGAUGGUUGGGUCCAUCACAAUCGUCCGAUUAACUAAAGACGAAGUGUAUAGCGUUCCUGAGCUU
rnacentral:snoRNA from 1 species